GUGCUCGCUUUGGCAGCAUAUAUACUAAAAUUGGAACGAUACAGAGAUUAGCAUCCCCUGAGCAAGGAUGACACGCAAAUUCGUGAAGCGUUCCAUUUUUUU
rnacentral:snRNA from 1 species